UGGGGAAUAUUGGACAAUGGGCGAAAGCCUGAUCCAGCAAUGCCGCGUGAGUGAUGAAGGCCUUAGGGUUGUAAAGCUCUUUUACCCGGGAUGAUAAUGACAGUACCGGGAGAAUAAGCCCCGGCUAACUCCGUGCCAGCAGCCGCGGUAAUACGGAGGGGGCUAGCGUUGUUCGGAAUUACUGGGCGUAAAGCGCGCGUAGGCGGCUAUUCAAGUCAGAGGUGAAAGCCUGGUGCUCAACACCAGAACUGCCUUUGAAACUAGAUAGCUAGAAUCACGGAGAGGUCAGUGGAAUUCCGAGUGUAGAGGUGAAAUUCGUAGAUAUUCGGAAGAACACCAGUGGCGAAGGCGACUGACUGGACGUGUAUUGACGCUGAGGUGCGAAAGCGUGGGGAGCAAACA
rnacentral:rRNA from 1 species